rnacentral:rRNA from 1 species
CCUACGGGAGGCAGCAGUAAGGAAUAUUGGUCAAUGGACGCAAGUCUGAACCAGCCAUGCCGCGUGAAGGAUUAAGGCCCUCUGGGUUGUAAACUUCUUUUAUAGGGGACGAAAAAAGGGCAUUCUUGCUCACUUGACGGUACCCUAGGAAUAAGCACCGGCUAACUCCGUGCCAGCAGCCGCGGUAAUACGGAGGGUGCAAGCGUUAUCCGGAUUUACNGGGUUUAAAGGUGCGUAGGUGGGUUGGUAAGUCAGUGGUGAAAUCUUCGAGCUUAACUCGGAAACUGCCAUUGAUACUAUCAAUCUUGAAUCAUCUAGAGGUAAGCGGAAUAUGUCAUGUAGCGGUGAAAUGCUUAGAUAUGACAUAGAACACCAAUUGCGAAGGCAGCUUACUAUGGAUGUAUUGACACUGAGGCACGAAAGCGUUGGGGAUCAAACAGGAUUAGAUACCCUGGUAGUCCACGACCUAACGAUAGAUACUACGACAUUAGUGUAUAUACUAUAGUAGU